GAUGAACGCUGGCGGCGUGCCUAAUACAUGCAAGUCGAGCGAACGGACGAGAAGCUUGCUUCUCUGAUGUUAGCGGCGGACGGGUGAGUAACACGUGGAUAACCUACCUAUAAGACUGGGAUAACUUCGGGAAACCGGAGCUAAUACCGGAUAAUAUUUUGAACCGCAUGGUUCAAAAGUGAAAGACGGUCUUGCUGUCACUUAUAGAUGGAUCCGCGCUGCAUUAGCUAGUUGGUAAGGUAACGGCUUACCAAGGCAACGAUGCAUAGCCGACCUGAGAGGGUGAUCGGCCACACUGGAACUGAGACACGGUCCAGACUCCUACGGGAGGCAGCAGUAGGCAAUCUUCCGCAAUGGGCGAAAGCCUGACGGAGCAACGCCGCGUGAGUGAUGAAGGUCUUCGGAUCGUAAAACUCUGUUAUUAGGGAAGAACAUAUGUGUAAGUAACUGUGCACAUCUUGACGGUACCUAAUCAGAAAGCCACGGCUAACUACGUG
rnacentral:rRNA from 1 species